rnacentral:rRNA from 1 species
GACAGAGGCCUCAAGCGUUAGGCGGAAUCACUGGGCUUAAAGCGUGUGUAGGCGGAUCGUUAAGUGUCUUGUGAAAUCCCACGGCUCACCCGUGGAACUGCUGGGCAUACUGGCGAUCUUGGGCCAACUAGGGGCAACUGGAACAAGCGGUGGAGCGGUGAAAUGCGUAGAUAAUCGCUUGGAACGCCAAAGGGUGAAAACAGGUUGCUGGGGUUGU